rnacentral:misc_RNA from 1 species
CGAAGCUCCAUCCAUAAAUGGAUAAGACUUCGGUCUUAGUGUAUACGAAGUUCGGUUUUUUGAGAAUGAAGGAGCAAUAACCAAUUCCCCCUUUUAUGAAUUAUGAAAAGGGUUGCUAUUGCUCCUUCAUUUUUAUUUAGUAGUCUUGUACUUAGCAUAAGUUUUUGAUUUAUGUUUUCUUUAUGUUUAUUUGUUUGUAAUAAUAGGACAAGGACCGCACCAGGAAAACGUGCAAUUACAAAAAGUAUUUUUUAAGGGUUGUUUUAGGAUUAAAUCAUUAUCUUUUUUUUUUUUUUUUAUCAUAAAGUCCGCCUCUUUUUCAUUUUUUGAAUUUUAAUGAACUAUCUUUUAUUUCAUUUUAUAAGAUAUAAGAAAAAGAUCAAAAUGUGAUACAAAAUGAUGAAGUUAAAAUGAAAAUAGUACAAACUUAAACUUUUCUAAUUCAUAAAUAAGAAGGAAAGGGGGG